rnacentral:rRNA from 1 species
CCUACGGGCGGCUGCAGUGGGGAAUAUUGGACAAUGGGGGCAACCCUGAUCCAGCCAUGCCGCGUGUGUGAAGAAGGCCCUCGGGUUGUAAAGCACUUUCAGUGAGGAAGAACGCCUGGUGGUUAAUACCCAUCAGGAAAGACAUCACUCACAGAAGAAGCACCGGCUAACUCCGUGCCAGCAGCCGCGGUAAUACGGAGGGUGCGAGCGUUAAUCGGAAUUACUGGGCGUAAAGCGCGCGUAGGUGGCUUGAUAAGCCGGUUGUGAAAGCCCCGGACUCAACCUGGGAACGGCAUCCGGAACUGUCAAGCUAGAGUGCAGGAGAGGAAGGUAGAAUUCCCGGUGUAGCGGUGAAAUGCGUAGAGAUCGGGAGGAAUACCAGUGGCGAAGGCGGCCUUCUGGACUGACACUGACACUGAGGUGCGAAAGCGUGGGUAGCAAACAGGAUUAGAUACCCCUGUAGUC